rnacentral:rRNA from 1 species
AAAAGGGCCCGGAUUCCUGCGGGAGGCAGCAAUGUGGAAAAUGUGGGCAAUGGGGGGGAAGGCCUGACCCCAGCCACCGCCGCCUUGGAGGGAAAGACCGUUUUUCGGGAUUUGUAAACCUUCUUUUUGAACGGGGGACGGAAAGAUUGACCGGUACCCCCGUCGGAAAUAAAGCCCCCCGGGCUAAACUACCGUGCCCCAGGCAGCCCGCCGGUAAAUAACGUAGGGGAGCCAAGGCGUUUAUUCCGGAUUUUAUUGGGUGUAAAGGGUUGCGCAGACGGGAAGUCAAGUUGGUUGUGAAAUCCCUCGGCUCAACUGAGGAACUGCAACCAAAACUGAUUUUCUUGAGUGCUGGAGAGGAAAGUGGAAUUCCUAGUGUAGCGGUGAAAUGCGUAGAUAUUAGGAGGAACACCAGUGGCGAAGGCGACUUUCUGGACAGUAACUGACGUUGAGGCACGAAAGUGUGGGGAGCAAACAGGAUUAGAUACCCUGGUAGUCCACACCGUAAACGAUGGAUACUAGGUGUAGGGGAUGAAUAAUCUUCUGUGCCGUCGCAAACGCAGUAAGUAUCCCACCUGGGGAGUACGGCCGCAAGGUUGAAACUCAAAGGAAUUGACGGGGGCCCGCACAAGCAGUGGAGUAUGUGGUUUAAUUCGAAGCAACGCGAAGAACCUUACCAAGUCUUGACAUCUGGAUGACAGAGCAUGUAAAGUGUUUUCUCUUCGGAGCAUCCAAGACAGGUGGUGCAUGGUUGUCGUCAGCUCGUGUCGUGAGAUGUUGGGUUAAGUCCCGCAACGAGCGCAACCCUUAUUCCUAGUAGCCAGCGGAUAAGCCGGGCACUCUAGGGAGACUGCCGGGGAUAACCCGGAGGAAGGUGGGGAUGACGUCAAAUCAUCAUGCCCCUUAUGAUUUGGGCUACACACGUGCUACAAUGGCGUAAACAAAGGGAAGCGAACCUGCGUGGGGGAACGAAACCCAAAAAUAACGUCCCAGUUCGGACUGCAGUCUGCAACCCGACUGCACGAAGCUGGAAUCGCUAGUAAUCGCGGAUCAGAAUGCCGCGGUGAAUACGUUCCCGGGUCUUGUACACACCGCCCGUCACACCAUGGGAGUCGGAAAUGCCCGAAGUCUGUGACCUAACCGAAAGGGGGGAGCAGCCGAAGGCAGGUCGGAUCGCACUGGGGUGAAGUCCGUAACAAGGUAG